rnacentral:rRNA from 1 species
CCUACGGGGGGCUGCAGUGGGGAAUAUUGGGCAAUGGGCGCAAGCCUGACCCAGCAACGCCGCGUGAAGGAAGAAGGCUUUCGGGUUGUAAACUUCUUUUGUCAGGGACGAAGCAAGUGACGGUACCUGACGAAUAAGCCACGGCUAACUACGUGCGAGCAGCCGCGGUAAUACGUAGGUGGCAAGCGUUAUCCGGAUUUACUGGGUGUAAUGGGCGUGUAGGCGGGGCUGCAAGUCAGAUGUGAAAACCACGGGCUCAACCUGUGGCCUGCAUUUGAAACUGUAGUGCUUGAGUACUGGAGAGGGAGAUAGAAUUCCUAGUGUAGCGGUGAAAUGCGUAGAGAUGAGGAGGAACACCAGUGGCGAAGGCGGUCUGCUGGACAGCAACUGACGCUGAGGCGCGAAAGCGUGGGGAGCAAACAGGAUUAGAUACCCCAGUAGUC